rnacentral:rRNA from 1 species
AAACAUCUUCUCUUGUUUUAUUUGUGAGAUAUGUCCUGCCCAAUGAAUAAUUUAAUGGCUGCAGUAUUUUGACUGUACAAAGGUAGCAUAAUCAUUAGUCUAUUAAUUGUAGGCUUGUAUGAAUGGUUUGACGAGAUAUUAACUGUCUCAUUUUUAUAUAUAAAAUUUAAAUUUUAAGUUAAAAUGCUUAAGUUAGAUUAUAGGACGAGAAGACCCUAUAGAUCUUUAAUGGUUAUUUACAUAAUAUUUUUGGUUUAAUUAUUUAUUGUGUUUAUUAUUAUUUUUGUUGGGGUGACAUUGGGAUUUAAUUAACUCUUUAUUUAUUUAUUCAUUUAUUUAUGUAAAUUUGACCUUAAUUAUUGUUUAUAAGAUGUAGAUACCUUAGGGAUAACAGCGUAAUUCUUUUUAAGAGUUCAUAUCGACAAAGGAGAUUGCGACCUCGAUGUUGGAUUAAGGUAAUUUUUAGGUGUAGGUGCUUAAUAAAUAGGUCUGUUCGACCUUUAAAAUCUUACAUGAUCUGA